rnacentral:rRNA from 1 species
UACGGAGGGGGCUAGCGUUGCUCGGAAUCACUGGGCGUAAAGGGUGCGUAGGCGGGGCUUUAAGUCUGGGGUGAAAUCCUGGAGCUCAACUCCAGAACUGCCUUUGAUACUGAGGAUCUUGAGUUCGGGAGAGGUGAGUGGAACUGCGAGUGUAGAGGUGAAAUUCGUAGAUAUUCGCAAGAACACCAGUGGCGAAGGCGGCUCACUGGCCCGGUACUGACGCUGAGGCGCGAAAGCGUGGGGAGCAAACAGG